GAGUUAACGCUGGCGGCGUGCCUAACACAUGCAAGUCGAGCGGAGAGUGGCAGAGUAUCGCGCUCUUAGCGGCAGACGGGUGAGCAACACGUAAACAACAUGCCCUCAAGAGGGAGACAACCUGGCGAAAGUCGGGCUAAUAUCCCGUAUUAUCACGGUAAGGCAUCUUACCGGGAUGAAAGGCCCGCAAGGGUCGCUUGAGGAGUGGUUUGCGGCCUAUCAGCUAGUUGGCGGUGUAAAAGACCACCAAGGCUAUGACGGGUAGCCGAUCUGAAAGGAUGACCGGCCACAAGGGCACUGAGACACGGGCCCUACUCCUACGGGAGGCAGCAGUGGGGAAUUUUGGACAAUGGGCGAAAGCCUGAUCCAGCGACGCCGCGUGAAGGACGAAGGUCUUCGGAUUGUAAACUUCUUUUGCGGGGGACGAUUAUGACGGUACCCCGCGAAUAAGCAACGGCUAACUACGUGCCAGCAGCCGCGGUAAUACGUAGGUUGCAAGCGUUACUCGGAAUUACUAGGCGUAAAGCGUGUGUAGGCGGUGUUUUAAGUCUGUCGUGAAAUUCCACGGCUCAACCGUGAAAAGUCGAUAGAUACUGGGACGCUAGAGUGAGGCAGGGGAAACUGGAAUUCCAGGUGUAGCGGUGGAAUGCGUAGAUAUCUGGAAGAACGCCAAAGGCGAAGGCAGGUUUCUGGGCCUUUACUGACGCUGAUACACGAAAGCUAGGGGAGCAAACAGGAUUAGAUACCCUGGUAGUCCUAGCCGUAAACUAUGUAGACCAGGCGUGGGAGGUAUCGACCCCUUCCGUGCCGACGUUAACGCAUUAAGUCUACCGCCUGGGGAGUACGGCCGCAAGGUUAAAACUC
rnacentral:rRNA from 1 species